rnacentral:rRNA from 1 species
AUUGAACGCUGGCGGCAUGCCUUACACAUGCAAGUCGAACGGCAGCACGGGAGCUUGCUCCUGGUGGCGAGUGGCGAACGGGUGAGUAAUACAUCGGAACGUACCCAGUAGUGGGGGAUAACGCACCGAAAGGUGCGCUAAUACCGCAUACGACCUACGGGUGAAAGCGGGGGACCGUAAGGCCUCGCGCUAUUGGAGCGGCCGGUGUCUGAUUAUCUAGUUGUCGGGGUAAAAGCCCACCAAGGCGACGAGCAGUAGCUGGUCCGAGAAGACGAUCCACCACACUGGGACUGAGACACCGCCCAGACUGCUACGGGAGGCAGCAGUGGUGAAUUUUGGACAAUGGGGGCAACCCUGAUCCAGCAAUUCCGCGUGUGCGAAGAAAGCCUUCGGGUUGUAAAGCACUUUUGUCAGGGAAGAAAUCUUUCAGGCUAAUACCCUUGGAAGGAUGACGGUACCAGAAGAAUAAGCACCGGCUAACUACGUGCCAGCCGCCGCAGUAA